CCAUUUGGCGACUCUUAUGACAGGGGAAAAGCUUCCGAUAUAUAUUAAAAAUGUAGGGACAGAAGUCUUUGAAGGAAUCAUAAAGAGAAACAGGAGUGCAAGCAUCUUAUUAAGGCAUCUCUUUGUCACAUUGGAGCCUUGGAAAAGCUUCCGCCACCGCUAGUGCUUGUCCUAUCCAUUCAUUCAUUCCCUAUCAACAUAUAUAGAAACCUCUUGCACAAUUUGAAGGCACAAAUUAGUGCUCCAUCAAACUAAAGGUUGCAGAGACAUCAAAGCAACAAAGACUAGAACUGAAAUGGGUCACAGGAAGAGCCAUCAUCACAAAGGAAGAGGUGAAGCAGCUCAUGAGAAGGAAUACCUGUUCCUAGCACGCUUCCCUUGCUAUGUGUUCGGCUCUGUCAUUAGAGGGAUUGGGAGGGGCCUCUUUGUGGCCUUCUACCCUGUGAUACAAUGUUGCGGCCUUGAUGAGUGCAGGCAUCACCACACCAGCCACCUCAGCCACUUCAGAUGAUAUAUAUGCAUCCAUGGAGUAACUCUAUCACUUGAUCACCAGUUCUUUCCCCUUUAUUUUUCACUGCAAGUAGGGUUAGCAAUCAAUCACGCCGAGUUCUAAAGAAGAAUUGUUCAUACCGUAUACGAGUCUGCAGUGUUCUUCAUCUUUUUUCAGUAGUUUUAAGUAGAAAGGAAGACUUGUCUGCAUUACCUCAGCAGAUGAUAGAAGAGUAAAGUUGAAGAAAAUUCCAUGCUAAACAGCUAUUGGUCUCUUGAAAGUAAUUCAUAAAGUGGUUGGUGCCAGUGCUUUCUGGUUGUUUUUCUCUAGUGGCUCAGAAAAAAAUAAUUUCUUCUAAUUGA